AUUGAACGCUGGCGGCAGGCCUAACACAUGCAAGUCGAGCGGAUGAAGGGAGUUUGCUCCUGGAUUCAGCGGCGGACGGGUGAGUAAUGCCUAGGAAUCUGCCUGGUAGUGGGGGAUAACGUCCGGAAACGGGCGCUAAUACCGCAUACGUCCUGAGGGAGAAAGUGGGGGAUCUUCGGACCUCACGCUAUCAGAUGAGCCUAGGUCGGAUUAGCUAGUUGGUGGGGUAAAGGCCUACCAAGGCGACGAUCCGUAACUGGUCUGAGAGGAUGAUCAGUCACACUGGAACUGAGACACGGUCCAGACUCCUACGGGAGGCAGCAGUGGGGAAUAUUGGACAAUGGGCGAAAGCCUGAUCCAGCCAUGCCGCGUGUGUGAAGAGGGUCUUCGGAUUGUAAAGCACUUUAAGUUGGGAGGAAGGGCAGUAAGUUAAUACCUUGCUGUUUUGACGUUACCAACAGAAUAAGCACCGGCUAACUUCGUG
rnacentral:rRNA from 1 species